rnacentral:lncRNA from 1 species
GGAGCUGAAGCCAUUCAUAGGGUGACACGUCCCAGGCGGGGCUGCCAGCCUUUAUUAGGGGACGGGAUUCUUGGCUCGGGGUCUCCGCUCUGGCGAGAAUAUAGCGCGGGACAUCUGGUGCCGAAACCCGGGAACUUGUUAACAUCGCCGGCACUGCGGAGACCCCUCUAACGGGGCGGAUUCAGAACUGCAGGGUGGUAAAUUCGGAGAGGAUGAAGAGAAUCCCCUGUGGAUCCCGGAAAGACUCACACAAAGAGCCCCUUCGGACCUUCAAAAGUCGGAACUCCACCCUCUCCCCGGGAGUUAAGAGCCGCUAUUAUCCAGAUUAACUCCUGUCCUUGACGGAGAGAUUGUCAUCAUAGAUAGCUUCAGCUGUCUCCUAUUUUAAGGAAAUGGGUGGAGGUGGGAUUGUUUGGUGCAGCCGUUUGCUGCGGAUUGAUGUUGCUUCUCUGGCUGGUCUGUAAGCUCAGGGCUCAAACUAAGAGAGACAAGGUGGUUAUCGCCCAAGUGCUUGUAGCUUUGGAACAAGGGGCUUCCACUGAUAUUUGGCUAACUAUGCUUAAGCAAUAGGCCGCCGGCCAGACAGCUCUUGCACACCCGGAGCCUAGGCUCAUUGCACAGGGUAGAGUGCCUGGUUUGAGCAGCCCAUGAGGGAUGUUGAGCAAGGCAUCGCACAGAGAGUUGCCCAGUAUACAGGCUUCUCUGGGAGGCAUGUUGUCCUGCAUAAGGGUUGCCUGCCCUAGUCUCCCUUUCCCAGAAAAACGGCAGAGGACAGGUCGAGAGCGCUUCGGGUCAAGCUAACAGCCUGAUGGCGACUCUUGUACACAGUCUUAAUGUUUGAUUGGGAAGGUACAACCUCUGCCUCUAUCCCUCAACAUAUGGGUGACCUAUUUGCUUGUAAAAAUAUAAAGCCUUAUCAUUAAUUAAUAAAAAAAGGGGGAUCUGUAGGGAGCCGUCCCUGCAUUCUCCAUUACAAUGAUGGUGCCUGCAGGCACUGAAUGUAAAUUAUUUCACAGGCGCUGGGUAAUUUUCCAUUUCCUUGAUCUCUGCCUAUCCCGUGGCUCAUAUGGCCUGAGGAGCUGAAGCCAUUCAUAGGGUGACACGUCCCAGGCGGGGCUGCCAGCCUUUAUUAGGGGACGGGAUUCUUGGCUCGGGGUCUCCGCUCUGGUAAGCUUAUGCUCUCCUCUCUCAAGAUGCAUUAAAGCUUUCCUGCAGAAGGAUCCGAAUGUCCUGUGUGAUUCUUGCAGGCGAGAAUAUAGCGCGGGACAAUCAUACAGGGAUUGUGGUGUUAAGACUACCCUCCUGGGCUGGAGAGAUGGCUCAGAGGUUAACAACACUGGCUCUUCUUCCAGAGGACCCAGGUUCAACUCCCAGCACCCACAUGGCAGCUCACAGUUGUCUAUAAUUCCAGUUCCAGAGGAUCUGACACCCUCACACAGACAUACAUGAAGGUAAAACAUCAAAG